AGUCGGAGUUCUUUAGCAGGGUCUGCAACAUACCUUCCCUGCCUGACCAAGUGGGGUGGAUCAAUGUAAUGGAACAAAGAUGAUUUGAGCACAGUUUAACCCAUUAGGGAAUAGCAUGAUGGCUUUCAAACUCAAGAUGUUCUACUUGGUAAGCCAGGUUCACCAGUAAGUCAUUGAAAAAGAUCUAUCACAGAAGAAGCGAACAUGCCUGAAGAAAAGCUGAGAGAACACAAGAAAAGGAUGAUCCCUUGGAAAAUAUCAGGGAGAAUUUGUAAUGAACAACUAACAAGAAAGUUGCAUCAAAUAACACUAUAAUGGUGUUCGCAAGAGAUCAAUAAACAGUUUGUUGAUAGAUUCAGGGAAUCUAUCUGCUUCAUUGUAAUAUAUGGAACUGCAUCUCCAUAUCAAAUAAAAAAUUCUAAAUGAUUA